rnacentral:tRNA from 1 species
UGGUGUGGUACUUUAAGUGAAAAGGUUAAGUUUGCAACUUAAAAUUGAGAUUGGUUUAUAUUCUUCUAUGCUAA